AAGCUGGCAGAUGGAUAGCUUGGUUUGGACUGUGAUGAAGGACGUGGCAAGCUGCGAUAAGCUCUGGCGAGGUGCAUGCGACUUUUGAACCAGAGAUCUCCUAAUGCGAUAACGUAUUUAUGCAGAGAUGCAGACGUACUCCGGGAAUUGAAACAUCUUAGUACCGGUAGGAAUAGAAAGCAAUAGCGAUUCCCUUACUAGCAGCGAGCGAAAAGGGAAUAGGGCAAACCGAAUCUCCUGUUGAAAGAUAGGUAGAGAUGUGGUGGAUGCUAAGUCUAAGUUGUCGAGAAAAAGUUGUCUGGAAAGACACGCCUUAGAAGGUGAUAGCCCUGUAUUCUAAGACAAUAUGACAGGCUCCGAAAGAGUAGGGCUUCCUAGAUUGGAGGUCUGAAUAUGGCUAGAUUAAUAGCCAACCCUAAAUAUGAGUCCAAGUCCGAUAGUGAACUUAGUACCGCGAGGGAAAGCUGAAAAGUACUCUUAAUCGAGUGUGAAAAGACUUGAAAUCUGUCAGUGACACGAUGGUUACGGCAUUACGAUGUUGUAACGUACGUUUGGAAAAAUGGACCAAGGAGUUUUUCUAAUUGGCGAGGUUAAAUUGAAGCCAUAGCGAAAGCGAGUGUGAAAGCGCGUUAGUCAAUUGGAAAAGACCCGAAACCGGACGAUCUAUUCGUGGGCAAGCUGAAGUUUCCCGAAAGGGGAAUGGAGGGCUGAACCGUUGUUGUGUGCAUGCACUCGAAUGACCUGCGAAUAGGGGUGAAAAGCCUAUCUAGUUCGGCGAUGGCUGGUUCCUGUUGAAAUAUGCCGCAGUAUAGUCUUAUUUAGUUUGUUGGCGAGGUAAAGUACGGAUAGGGUUUGCAGGGCCGAAAGGUUACGGAACCUCUUCCAACUCAGAACUUGUCAACUGCGUAAAAUAGGAAUGGGGGGCAGUGCGUAAGGUACUGUUCCGAGACCGGAACAACGGAGAGUGAAGUUAAGGUCCCAAAAUGUAUUCUAAGUGUAUCGAACUUUGUCGGAAACCUAAGACAGCGAGGAUGUAGGCCCAGAAGCAGCCAACAUUUAAAGAAAGCGUAACAGCUCACUUGUUGAGGUUUCUGGCGGGGAAAAUGGACGGGGCUAAGAAUACUACCGAUACUUCACCGGCAUUCGAAAGAAUGUUCGGAUAAGCAGGCGUGCUUUCUGCGCAGAAGGUUUUGCGAAAGCAAGGCUGGAGCGGGAAGCAACGAGAAUCUUGGUGGUAGUAAGAUCAGAUCAACCUGAGAAUGGUUGGCGCCGCAAGAGCAAGGUUUCCUUGGCACUAUUGUUUAACCAAGGGUUAGUCGGCUCCUAAGCUGUACCUUAACUGAGUACAGCGAAUGGACACCAGGUUAAUAUUCCUGGACUGCUAAAUUUUAGGUGUGGAUUUGCUUUGGGAUAGGCAGGUACUCGAAAGGGUGCUUUGCUGCAGAAAGCUGUGGAUCGUAAUGAUAAGAAGCAGCAGAAUGUAGUAAAUGAAAUCUGUUGAAUCCGGGGGCCCAUGAAAAGUUCCCACUGUAUGAUUUAGUAGCCGUACUGAGAAUCGACACUGAUGCUCUGGCUUAGUAGGCUAAGGCGUGAAAGGAUAAGCUGGCUCAGGGAAUUCGGCAAUUUGGCCCUGUAUCUUAGGUAUAAGGGGUGUCUAUAGGGGUCUCUAUUUUGGAGGCGUCUGUAGAUCGCAGUGACAAGGACUGCCCGACUGUUUACCAAAAACGUAGCUGGUUGCAAAUCGGAAACGACUAGUAUAACCGGUGAGAUCUGCCCAGUCACGGUGUUUCAAACUCUGGUUCAACAGAGCUAAGACCCGUGAAACGGCGGGCCUAACUAUGAGGCUCUUAAGGUAGCGUAAUGCCUUGUCAUUUGAUUGGUGACGUGCAUGAAUGGUUUAACGAGGUAGUCGCUGUCCCGAGCCAGUACCUUCUGAACACACUUGAUGGUGAAAAUGCCAUCGUCUCCUAGUGGGAAGCGGAGACCUUAUGAACCUUUACUGCAACUUGUUGCUGUGAUUUUAAGGAAAGUGCAUAGCAUAGGUAGGAGCAUCGAAACCAUGCUUCCGGGCAUGGUGGAGCAAAAUUGUAAUACUACCCAUUUUUUUUGAGAUUGCUUACCUGAAAGGGAACACCAACAGGCGGGCAGUUUGGCUGGGGCGGCACCCUGCAGAAAAGAUAGCUGCAGGGCCCAAAGACAAACUCAUCCAGGUUGGAAAUCUGGAGUAGAGUGCGAAGGCAAAAGUUUGUCUGACUGUAUUUCGAAAAGCAAGAAAUGCAGAGGUGAAAGCCGGGCUUAGCGACCCCACGUAGCCUUUUGAUAGGGCUCGUGUGUGACAGAAAAGGUACUCUAAGGAUAACAGGCUUGUCGCCCCCGAUAGUCCGUAUUGACGGGGCGGUUUGGUACAUCGCUGUCGGCUCUUCCUAUCCUGGUUGUGCAUAAGCGACCAAGGGUGUCGGAGUUCACGCGUUAAAAGGGAUCGUUAGCUGGGUUAAGAACGUUGCGAGACAGUUUGUAUGAUAUCUACUAGGAGUGUUAUGGUCUGAGUGGAACAAUGUUAUAGUACGAGAGGAACUAGCAUUGGGUGCCUCUGGUGAGCAGUUGUUAUGAGCAGGCUGCGCAGCUACGCACUGUGUGGAUAAGUGCUGAAAGCAUCUAAGCACGAAGCCAUCCGCAAGACGAGACCAUUAAAGCCGUCAUAGAAGAUGACGUUGAUAGAGCUGGUGUAUAAGAACUGAGGCAACGAGGUUUUAAGCACGCAGCUACUAAUAGCUUUAUAAAUCAGA
rnacentral:rRNA from 1 species